rnacentral:rRNA from 1 species
AUUGAACGCUGGCGGCAGGCCUAACACAUGCAAGUCGAGCGGAUGAAGGGAGCUUGCUCCUGGAUUCAGCGGCGGACGGGUGAGUAAUGCCUAGGAAUCUGCCUGGUAGUGGGGGAUAACGUCCGGAAACGGGCGCUAAUACCGCAUACGUCCUGAGGGAGAAAGUGGGGGAUCUUCGGACCUCACGCUAUCAGAUGAGCCUAGGUCGGAUUAGCUAGUUGGUGGGGUAAAGGCCUACCAAGGCGACGAUCCGUAACUGGCCUGAGAGGAUGAUCAGUCACACUGGAGCUGAGACACGGUCCAGACUCCUACGGGAGGCAGCAGUGGGGAAUAUUGGACAAUGGGCGAAAGCCUGAUCCAGCCAUGCCGCGUGUGUGAAGAAGGUCUUCGGAUUGUAAAGCACUUUAAGUUGGGAGGAAGGGCAGUAAGUUAAUACCUUGCUGUUUUGACGUUACCAACAGAAUAAGCACCGGCUAACUUCGUG